GUUUCCCGUAAAGGUGAACCUGCUGCUGGAUCAUUACUCACUGUGAU
rnacentral:rRNA from 1 species